AAAUUGAAGAGUUUGAUCAUGGCUCAGAUUGAACGCUGGCGGCAGGCCUAACACAUGCAAGUCGAACGGUAACAGAAAGCAGCUUGCUGCUUUGCUGACGAGUGGCGGACGGGUGAGUAAUGUCUGGGAAACUGCCUGAUGGAGGGGGAUAACUACUGGAAACGGUAGCUAAUACCGCAUAACGUCGCAAGACCAAAGAGGGGGACCUUCGGGCCUCUUGCCAUCGGAUGUGCCCAGAUGGGAUUAGCUAGUAGGUGGGGUAAAGGCUCACCUAGGCGACGAUCCCUAGCUGG
rnacentral:rRNA from 1 species